rnacentral:rRNA from 1 species
GAUGAACGCUAGCUACAGGCUUAACACAUGCAAGUCGAGGGGCAUCAGGAAGAAAGCUUGCUUUCUUUGCUGGCGACCGGCGCACGGGUGAGUAACACGUAUCCAACCUGCCCUUUACUCGGGGAUAGCCUUUCGAAAGAAAGAUUAAUACCCGAUAGCAUAAUGAUUCCGCAUGGUUUCAUUAUUAAAGGAUUCCGGUAAAGGAUGGGGAUGCGUUCCAUUAGGUUGUUGGUGAGGUAACGGCCCACCAAGCCUUCGAUGGAUAGGGGUUCUGAGAGGAAGGUCCCCCACAUUGGAACUGAGACACGGUCCAG